CCCACUGGAUAGACCAAGGUUACAAGGUUAACAAAGCUCAUUGGUUCAUAAUGCAAUCAUGAUUGCAGUUGGACUAAAAUCCGCCAAGUUCCGCCUCCUGACUCAGGUUAGUGAGGGCCCGUUGAAGACGUGUGUGUGAGGGAGCAGCGUCACGCUGGAAGAAUGGAGACACUUUUGAUCAUCAUAUGCACAAAACAGCGCAAAUUGAGAGUUUUACCGGGGCGGCGGUGGACCAAUCUCUGAGGCUGUCGUUGGAGGUUGGAGCUGCUUUGGAAAGCGGGAGUUUUCAUUAUUAUUUAAUUUUCCUCGGUGAAUGAAGCAACACGCUACAUGCUAGUUGCUGCCUGCAUGCUGCGGGACCUCGUGGUGUGUUAGCCACCUAGCUCUUUUGAGAGUUCAGUUAAAUUUAGCCCGAACUUCUCCGGCGAAGCGAGACGGAUUGUAGACGAUGGCAUGGGUAUUUGAACGGGGAUCUCAGCAAACCCGACCUCCGCUGGAACGGAAAACUCUGCCGCAGGAACAGCAGGACGUGCCUCGAGGUUUCCUUGGAAACCAGGGAAAGCAGGGACGUUGUGUGUGCGCGCAGAAAAGAGAGAGGAUGUGAGAGUUUGCAGUACACAUCUCCGGGGAAGACCUUAUGUGAACAAAGUCGACAACUUUGCCCUUGACACCAAUGUCAGAGAUCAAGCACAUAAGCGCUGGGCUCAUUCUGAGGCAGCCCUCAUCAGCCACAGCAAUACCAAUGAUGUAUUUACAAGCGAC